rnacentral:lncRNA from 1 species
AUGCAUGAUGAUCCGAACUUUGUGAAUACUUGUUGGCCCGAGUUUAUUAAUUCAGCCUUGAUUGAUUGUUCACGAGCACAUAGUUUAGCAUACCGAGCAAACCAAGGUCGUUAGGUAUAAAUGGAGCUUGCAUGGGUAGACGCGGUCGUUGUGGACAAGGAUCGUGAAUGCUUUGAUUGAACUUUAUGACAUUACAUACUUAUUUAUGAUUGGGCUUUUACUCAUUUGCUUCCGCUAAACGUUGAAUUUAUACUUAUGUUUUGAAACACCUUUCAUAUGGAUUGGUUUGGUUAAUGACAUUUACUUUUUCUAUAUACGUUGUUCUAUAUGAUUGGUGGCUUGAUCCUGGUCAGUCACGCCUCCAAGCGGUGAUACUCCGCGUUGUGGAUUUUGGGGGUGUGACAGAUUGGUAUCAGAGCCAUUGGUUAUAGAGAACUCGGUUUUAAUAAGGGAAAAACGUUUUUAUUAAAACCAGACUAUAACCAGUACAGUGCUCAACGAUCCACAACGACGCCUCGCUCCACGUUCAAGACUCGACAUCCUAGGUCGUUAGGUAUACAUGGAGCUUGCAUGGGGAGACACGGUCAUUGUGGACAAGGAUCGUGAAUGCUUUCAUUGAACUUUAUGACAUUACAUACUUAUUUAUGAUUGGGCUUUUACUCAUUUGCUUCUGCUAAACGUUGAAUUUAUACUUAUGUUUUGAAACACCUUUCAUAUGGAUUGGUUUGGUUAAUGACAUUUACUUU